rnacentral:rRNA from 1 species
UACGGAGGGUGCAAACGUUGCUCGGAAUCAUUGGGCGUAAAGCGCACGUAGGCGGCCUGUUAAGUCGGAUGUGAAAGCCCCGGGCUCAACCCGGGAAGUGCAUUCGAAACUGGCGGGCUUGAAUAUGGAAGAGGGUCGCGGAAUUCCCGGUGUAGAGGUGAAAUUCGUAGAUAUCGGGAGGAACACCAGUGGCGAAGGCGGCGCCUGGGCCAAUAU